ACUGAUGAUUUUGGUCGCCAACGAGUGGCGGACGGGUGAGUAACACGUAGGUAACCUGCCCAGAAGCGGGGGACAACAUUUGGAAACAGAUGCUAAUACCGCAUAACAACGUUGUUCGCAUGAACAACGCUUAAAAGAUGGCUUCUCGCUAUCACUUCUGGAUGGACUGCGGUGCAUUAGCUUGUUGGUGGGGUAAUGGCCUACCAAGGCGAUGAUGCAUAGCCGAGUUGAGAGACUGAUCGGCCACAAUGGGACUGAGACACGGCCCAUACUCCUACGGGAGGCAGCAGUAGGGAAUCUUCCACAAUGGGCGCAAGCCUGAUGGAGCAACACCGCGUGAGUGAAGAAGGGUUUCGGCUCGUAAAGCUCUGUUGUUAAAGAAGAACACGUAUGAGAGUAACUGUUCAUACGUUGACGGUAUUUAACCAGAAAGUCACGGCUAACUACGUGCCAGCAGCCGCGGUAAUACGUAGGUGGCAAGCGUUAUCCGGAUUUAUUGGGCGUAAAGAGAGUGCAGGCGGUUUUCUAAGUCUGAUGUGAAAGCCUUCGGCUUAACCGGAGAAGUGCAUCGGAAACUGGAUAACUUGAGUGCAGAAGAGGGUAGUGGAACUCCAUGUGUAGCGGUGGAAUGCGUAGAUAUAUGGAAGAACACCAGUGGCGAAGGCGGCUACCUGGUCUGCAACUGACGCUGAGACUCGAAAGCAUGGGUAGCGAACAGGAUUAGAUACCCUGGUAGUCCAUGCCGUAAACGAUGAGUGCUAGGUGUUGGAGGGUUUCCGCCCUUCAGUGCCGGAGCUAACGCAUUAAGCACUCCGCCUGGGGAGUACGACCGCAAGGUUGAAACUCAAAGGAAUUGACGGGGGCCCGCACAAGCGGUGGAGCAUGUGGUUUAAUUCGAAGCUACGCGAAGAACCUUACCAGGUCUUGACAUCUUGCGCCAACCCUAGAGAUAGGGCGUUUCCUUCGGGAACGCAAUGACAGGUGGUGCAUGGUCGUCGU
rnacentral:rRNA from 2 species